rnacentral:rRNA from 1 species
UGGUGGAUUGAUUUGUCUGCUUGAUUGCGAUAACGAACGAGACCUUAACCUGCUAAAUAGCUAGUCUAACGCGAGUUGGGCUAGCUUCUUAGAGGGACUGAAUACAAAAAGUAUUUGGAAGUUUGAGGCAAUAACA